GUAGAGACCGAUAGCAACCACGUGAUCAGUAAAAAUCGUGUAUUUUCACGUGAAAUUAUUUUUCGGAAUUCCGUACAUCGCCAUAGAGUAGUUGAAAAACAAAAAGGGGUUCCGAAAGUACAAGUUGUUGCUGUGACUGAAUCGAUGAUUGAGAGGGUCGUCUCGACGAAAGAUAUAGAAAUUUGGCCAUAGUUUAGAUUAGGAAUACGUCAAUGUAGUAAUAGUGGACUAAAUGUUUCGUCCGUGCAGAAUGGCACUUUUUACCUCACGAAAUUCACCACCAUGCAUAGCUACCCUACGUAAACAAAGUUGUUGAUGUAGCGUGAUCGUGAUGUCCGAGUGCUGCAUGCUGUGAGUUUCAAUACUGUUUAUGUAGUCAUUGAGAGUUUAAACAAAGUUUCUUCUGAGAAGAGGAAUUCGAUGGAUGCAUUCAACGUGGACAACGAAAUCAUAAUUUCGUUUGCAUCAUCCUAAGGACCAGUGCAAGUUGAAAUGGGCUUCCAGCCAACAACUUCAACAGCAAUUUGCCAUGAAAAUCAGCAAGAAAGGUACUUCAUUUACAUUGAUGAUGUCAUAUCCCCUGGACCCCACAACUUUACAGGUUACAGAGAAAAUUCAAGAACUUCUGCAAAAUGUGGGACUUGGAUAGAAUCAAUAAUGUAUUUGUGAGCCCAGAGCAAUGGAUAUAUUGUGCAACAUACUAAAGUGUGAAUUUAAUGGAAAACAAGUACAUGUACUCAUGUAUUACAUGUCUUUUUUAAAGACAAUAAUAUUGUAUAAAUAUAGAGGAAGUGUCAUUGUUGAUUAUUCUAAGUUUUUGAUAUAUCAAAAUCAGUAAACAUUUCUAAAUGAAAAUAAAAUACCAAUUUUAUAA